rnacentral:rRNA from 1 species
AUUGAACGCUGGCGGCAGGCCUAACACAUGCAAGUCGAGCGAGCGGCGGACGGGUGAGUAAUGUCUGGGAAACUGCCUGAUGGAGGGGGAUAACUACUGGAAACGGUAGCUAAUACCGCAUACCAUCAGCUGUGCCCAGAUGGGAUUAGCUAGUAGGUGGGGGAACUGUUAACCUAGGCGACGAUCCCUAGCUGGUAUGAGAGGAUGAACAGCCACCCUGGAGCGUGGCGACGGGCCAGACGCCGACGGGAGGCAGCAUUGGGGAAUAUUGCACAAUGGGCGCAAGCCUGAUGCAGCCAUGCCGCUUGUGUGAAGAAGGCCCUCGGGUUGUAAAGCACUUUCAGCGGGGAGGCGUGCCCCGCAGAAGAAGCACCGGCUAACGCCGUGCCAGCAGCCGCGGUAAUAC